UGCAGCGACGCCGCGUGAGGGAUGACGGCCUUCGGGUUGUAAACCUCUUUCAGCAGGGACGAAGCGCAAGUGACGGUACCUGUAGAAGAAGGACCGGCCAACUACGUGCCAGCAGCCGCGGUAAUACGUAGGGUCCGAGCGUUGUCCGGAAUUACUGGGCGUAAAGAGCUCGUAGGUGGUUUGUCGCGUUGUUCGUGAAAACUCACAGCUUAACUGUGGGCGUGCGGGCGAUACGGGCAGACUUGAGUACUGCAGGGGAGACUGGAAUUCCUGGUGUAGCGGUGGAAUGCGCAGAUAUCAGGAGGAACACCGGUGGCGAAGGCGGGUCUCUGGGCAGUAACUGACGCUGAGGAGCGAAAGCGUGGGGAGCGAACAGGAUUAGAUACCCUGGUAGUCCACGCCGUAAACGGUGGGUACUAGGUGUGGGUUUCCUUCCUUGGGAUCCGUGCCGUAGCUAACGCAUUAAGUACCCCGCCUGGGGAGUACGGCCGCAAGGCUAAAACUCAAAGAAAUUGACGGGGGCCCGCACAAGCGGCGGAGCAUGUGGAUUAAUUCGAUGCAACGCGAAGAACCUUACCUGGGUUUGACAUGCACAGGACGUGCCUAGAGAUAGGUAUUCCCUUGUGGCCU
rnacentral:rRNA from 1 species